AAAAAGUUUAAGUAUAACUUAAAAAUUUUAUUUUAUUUUUUAUUAUAUGUAUAAAAUUAAAGAAUUAAUGGGCAGUAUUUAGAUUUAAUUAUUAGAAAAUUCUAGAAUUAGAAAUAAUAUUUAUUAUUAACUAAAUUUGUGCCAGCAGUUGCGGUUAUACAAAUAAUAUAAUAAAAUAAUAUUAAUUUUAAUUAAUUGUGAUUAUUAUUUUAAAUUAAAAUUUAUAAGGUGAAAUUGUAAAUUUUUAAUAAAUUAAUAUUUUUAAAUGAAGUUAGUAAUUUUAAACAAUAAACUAGGAUUAGAUACCCUAUUAUUUUAAAUGUAGUUAUUAAAUUAAAUUAUUAUUAGUUAUGUUCUUUAAAAUUAAAUAUUUUGGCGGUAUUUUAUUCUAGUUAGAGGAACCUGUUUUAUAAAUGAUAGUCCACGAUUUAAUUAAUUUUUAUUAUUAACUUAUAUAUCGUCGUAAUUAAGUAUUUUUUUAGAAUUCAAUAUUUAAAAAUUUUUAUUAAAUAAUUAAUCAGAUCAAGGUGUAGUUUAUAUAGAAGUAAUAAUGGGUUACAGUAAUAAAAUUUUUGGAUAAUUAUUAUUAAUAAUAGUUUGAAUUUGGAUUUAAAUGUAAUUUUAAUUAAUUAAUUAAUUUGAUUUUAGUUUUAAAAUAUGUACAUAUUGCCCGUCGCUUUCAUUUAUAUGAAAUAAGUCGUAACAAAGUGGAUUUACUGGAAAGUGAAUCUAGAUGAU
rnacentral:ncRNA from 1 species